GAUGAACGCUGGCGGCGUGCCUAAUACAUGCAAGUCGAGCGGACAGACGAGGAUUUUGCUCCGCUGACGUGAGGGGCGGGCGGGUGAGUCACACGAGUAUACCCUACCUAUAAGACUGAGAUCACUUCGGGAAAGCGGAUCUAACACCGGAGAAUAUAUUGAACCGCGGGGUUCAUUAGAGAAAGACGGUUUUGCUGUCACUACUAGAUGGAUCUGGGCUGGAUUAGCUAGUUGGUACGGUAACGGCUUACCAAGGCUACAAUGCGUAGCCGACCUGAGAGGGUGAUCGGCCACACUGGAACUGAGACACGGUCCAGACUCCUACGGGAGGCAGCAGUAGGGAAUCUUACGCAAUGGGCGAAAGCCUGACGGAGCAACGCCGCGUGAGUGAUGAAGGUCUUCGGAUCGUAAAACUCUGUUAUUAGGGAGGAACAGAUGUGUAAGUAACUAUGCCCGUCUUGACGGUACCUAAUCAGAAAGCAACGGCUAACUACGUG
rnacentral:rRNA from 1 species